UAUGCCGAUUAUGUUUUCAGGGUUUUGCAGGGGCGCACUAAGAGGGACUUGAAGGGUUAAUUGAAGAGUAUAUUGAGGAGGGGAGUACUGUAGUUUCAGAUGCUUUUUCGUCAUACAGGGGUUUGGAGAAGAGGGGUUGAUCAGUUAGUUGUAAACCAUAGUUUAGAGUUUAAAAAUUGUGAAACUGGUGCAUGUGCUAAUGCAAUUGAGUUUUUUUUUUUAAUGUGCAGUGCCGGAAUUGGUUGGUGGUAAGUAGCAGAUUUCUGGGGUCUGUUGUUCAUGAGUUAUGAUGUUUUGUGUGUUUAUGGUGUAUUGAUUGUUUUUAAUUUCUGUGGGGAAGUUUGAUUUUAGGUUUUUCGAGGUGCUGUGGGUUUGGUUUUAUUUAUCACAGUUGCAGGUGUUUGUUUUUUGGUAUCAUCGGCUGUGGUUGACCUAUGUAGGUCAAGGGAAAUGUUUGGUUCCAAUUUUUGUCACCUGAUAUUGAAGCCAAUGAGUAUGUCGUGGCAAAAAUUAUUGUGGGCACAAAAUUUAAAGUUUGUUGCUGUAAGAGUAAUUUACUUGUCAAGAACUAUCACUAAUUGUCUGUGAAGUUUUUUGAAAUGUCUCAUUUUGGAUUUUAUAGAAGCAUUGUCAUGAAGUAUUGUCGUCUGGCAUUAUCAUGUGAGGGCAGUUCUAGGUAUUUGCAUGACAUCUUGUUGUUGCAGCUUGUGGUCAUUAGAGUAAAUGCUAAAUGUUCAUAUAUAGAGCACAUUAGAAGCCAACAUUCUGCGAGCGAAAGAUCAUGGAGGCAAUAAACUUUUGUACUUCUGUACAUUGUACCAAGCAGUAGCUGGCAGAAGGAAAAUGUUGAGGAAAUAUAUGACGCUCUACAAGAAACAAUACAUAUUUAUACAUGAUACUAUAGAUUGAACUUAUAGUUGUUCGCAUGUAGGUAACAAAUUAUUCAAUAAAAUACCACUAUUUGUCUAAGUAUUUACUGAGCAUGCUUAUAAACAUAAUGUGCUUGGCUCAUGCCUGCCCCUUCUGCAGUGUGAAGGGAAAAUGAUUAAAUGUAAUUGCAGUACUUAACCUACUCUUGUUUUACAGAGAGUAAUGUAACAUUUAUUGACAUUAUCUGUUGGUGUAAUGGCACCAUUUGCCCUAAUGACUUGGUAAUAAGGUUAUUACUGUUAACCUAUCCUUCAGGUAUGUCACAUGGAGCACUUAACUAAACAAACUUCAUUCUCAGCUAAAGUUUGAUGCAAGCUAUCGAACUGUUCACAUUCCACCGCCUCACGGAACCACCCACUAUAACUGUUUUGAAGCCAUAGUUGCUUACACCAUUCUCUCAGAGGUGGACGUGGGGAUGUAUUUGGGAGAGGAGUGAAACAGUCUGUCAGAACUAGUCAUACAGCAAAAAUUUGAGGGAGCCAUCUGGAGGUGGCAUUGAGGCAGCAACAACAUACAUCACAACCUGUCCGUGAUGCGCCCGGCGCCAUCACCACAUACAGUUCAAUUGUUGGCUACCCUCACCACACGUGGGGGUAUCAGAGACUCAGUAGCAGCAUCCGGGCCCAUCGUGGACGCCGUCCGUGUGUGUUGGACCAUCACAGGUGCAUUGGUCAUACAAUUUUGAUGCAGAAGUGAACCUGAAAACAUGAUAAAAUGUGGACGCCUCUGGAGAAACCUCAGUGUGUGUGGCCCGGUAGAUACAGACGAUACCUGAUGCCCAAAUGCAGCGAACCUUUCAGACUUGGAAUACAUCAUUUAUGGAAACAGGUCAUGCAAUUUUGAUGCGAAAUGGAACCUGAAAACCUGCUAAAAUGUGGAUACCAGUGGAUAAAGCUCAAUGUGUGUGGCCUGGUAGAUACAGAUGAUAUCAGAUACCCAAGUGCAAUGACCCUUUCGGACUUGGAAUACAUCAUUUAUGGAAACAAGUAGUGUUCUCCAUAAAAAUGGGCUGGUCACCCAUCGGUUUCAGAUGCCAAUGUGGACAGGGUACGGCAGGUGUUCGCAAGGAGUUCUAUAAAAUCGGCAUGUAUGGCAGCCAGAGAGUUGGAAAUGAGAAGAUCGACGUUGCACAAUGUCGUGCAUAAGAGUACUCACCAGACAUUUACAGUGGGGUGUGCAGUUGAGAACAGUUCUCCAUCUACUCCUCAGUGCUCACCAAAAUUAUCCAAAGUGGGGCACUAUGCCAAUUCAAAGAAGCAGGCCAAAGAUGUCCUGGUAAGCAGCACAUUGUCAAUGCUGCGAGACAAACAAACAGCAAUGAAUGGGAGCAAUGAGGAUGACGAGUUGGGCCAAUAUGUUGCAGCUGAGGUGAUUACAACUAAAAACAGAAAAUUGAAGGCAGAGACAAAGUGCCUUAUCACGAAUGCCACCAUGGGUGCAAUUCAGAAAGUUACUGAUUGUUAAUUUUUAAAUAAAAGAUUGAAAAU